rnacentral:rRNA from 1 species
AUGAACGGUUGUAUCAAUUAUUUAUUCACUGAAUGCAAUGUAUAUCUACGAGAAAAACAACUGCGGUUACUGGCGUUGCUGCUUGAUUGCUUGCAAGAUUAUAGUGCAUUACACAGCAAUUUUCCUUCUCCAUUGCUUAUAUCUAACUAUGCACACUAUCCAGGUAAACUACAGAAAACAGAGAGCAAGAACAGGCUCUGCAUGCAUGUUCUUCAGGAGCUACAAACAACCAAUUCGCUUGCUGGCUCCAACAGCUGGAAUUGCGCAACCAGUGUCGUGACAAGAUGUCACCAUGGAGAUCAGCAGCACGUUCUCGACUUCGACAGAGGCAUUUCGCCUGAGCAAGCACAUGACAUACUCCCAUCACUCUGGCAUCACAAGGCAGUGUGA